rnacentral:rRNA from 1 species
UCCUACGGGAGGCAGCAGUGGGGAAUUUUGGACAAUGGGCGCAAGCCUGAUCCAGCCAUGCCGCGUGCGGGAAGAAGGCCUUCGGGUUGUAAACCGCUUUUGUCAGGGAAGAAAAGGUUCUGGUUAAUACCUGGGACUCAUGACGGUACCUGAAGAAUAAGCACCGGCUAACUACGUGCCAGCAGCCGCGGUAAUACGUAGGGUGCAAGCGUUAAUCGGAAUUACUGGGCGUAAAGCGUGCGCAGGCGGUUAUGCAAGACAGAGGUGAAAUCCCCGGGCUCAACCUGGGAACUGCCUUUGUGACUGCAUGGCUAGAGUACGGUAGAGGGGGAUGGAAUUCCGCGUGUAGCAGUGAAAUGCGUAGAUAUGCGGAGGAACACCGAUGGCGAAGGCAAUCCCCUGGACCUGUACUGACGCUCAUGCACGAAAGCGUGGGGAGCAAACAGGAUUAGAUACCCUGGUAGUCCACGCCCUAAACGAUGUCAACUGGUUGUUGGGAGGGUUUCUUCUCAGUAACGUAGCUAACGCGUGAAGUUGACCGCCUGGGGAGUACGGCCGCAAGGUUGAAACUCAA